rnacentral:lncRNA from 10 species
UGGACAGGCAUGUUACGAUAAGACUCUGCUAACGUGGCUUUUGCUGCAAAGUGGGAAAUGGUUCUGGGAACUUACAGCUUUAAUAAGAUCAAACAAUGCAUCAAAUGGAGGUCUGAGUUGGAGAUCUGGGCUUCGACCUGCAGAAAUAAGAAUUGAGGCCUGUUGGGUGCUUCGCUGCUGGCAGUGCUCUCUCACGUGCCCUUUCCAGCUGGCUCUCACCUGAUUCUCAGACACCUCUGAGAGCUAGGUGGUGUUCUCGUGUACAUGUUAGAGAUGAGGAAACCCAAUCUCUGACAGCUGUCUAUCCACCUGUUUGGAAGGGGCUGAACUGUGUUCCCCCCAAGCUCAUCUGUUGAAGCUUUAACCCCCAGUACUUCAAAGCAUGUCUUUAUUCAGAGAUAGUCUUUCAAGAGAUAAUUAAGAUGCAGUGAAGUCAUUAGCGUGGGCCCUAAUCCGAUCUGACUGGUGUCCUAACAGGAAGAGGAGAUUAGAACACAGACAUGACCAUGUAAGGACACAGGGAGAAGGCGGCCGUCUGUAAGCCAAGGAGGGAGGCUCAGAAGGAACGAACCCUGCUCACACCUGGAUCCCAGACUUCUAGCUUCCAGGACGGAGAAAAUAAAUGUUGUUGAAGCCGCCUACCCUAUGGUACUUUAUUAUGGAAGCCCUAGCACACUAAUACAUUAAGCAAUUCCUGACUAUGCAGCCAGCUCUACUCCAGGGAAGAGAAGGCUCAGUCUCUCCCUUCAAAGAGUCUGUUUCUGGAUGCUGGCAGUCAUUCAGAAACAUUUGCUGAGCACCUCGUACCUGCUGAAUGAACCCACGUGAAGGGGAGCCAGGAGUGCGGAUCAUUAAAAAGCCUGUACUUUCUCAGUCCCCAUUUGACACCACAGAGAGAAAAUGCAUGCUCCUGAUUUGGGUAGAUCUAGAAUGUUCUUAUGAAUAUGGUAGGUGGAGCAAGGGAUCCAGGUUCUUAUGAUACAUGAUAAGAAAGGCCCUAGCUUGGUCAGACACAAAUAAAAGCCAAGCUUUUCAUCUAAACUCCCUUGCACCAUCACCCCCUUACCAACCAGUACAGAGAGCUUAACAUCUCUAUACCAGAUAGUGAAUGUUUCUAAUAAGAAUGGCAAAUUCUUAUUGUGAGAGAGAUAAGGGCAUUCAAGUGUUAAUUCAAGAGAAAUAUGUAUAUGGUUCUUUAAAUGAUUUAUUUACUAACAGCAUUAAGUAUGGUGUAAAGGAAUUUACAUACCCUAAUUCUCGUCUAUAUAUUUUUUUGGAUUUUAAAAUGACAACUUGUCUAAGUUCGCAUUAGUAUUAAGCCCUAACAUGAGACAGUAUUUAUAGCAUAAGAUUUUUGCCACCUAUUUUUAAUUGUAGCGCUGUUUUAUCAAUAAGAUCAAUUAAAGAGUUGAACAUUUGAAAAGAAGAAACAUGAAAAUGAAUUUCUAACUGUACGGUAUUGAAUACAUGAAAGUUCUCUUAAACUUAGUCCAGAGUCUCAAUAAACAUGUCUUUGCCCGGCACAGUGACUCACUGGCGUCCCUUUCAGGACUUUCUCCCGCCUGAUAACAUCUAAAUGACUCAUGCCUACACCACCUGGAGAGCUCAGGGAAGGCACGGUUUGUUCAGGCCACCCUCACUCCAAGGGCCAGCCCUUUUUUGGAAUAGAAACUAAAAGUUGGUAGCUUCCAUUUGUAGUUCCAUCUAACAGAAGAGCCGACCCACUCACAUUAGCUGGCUCACGACUAAGGCAACCAAUGCCUCCCAGAACAUAGACUCAACUGGCAACCCCGGCACUGAAGGUCAAGGUGAGUCAAAGACACUCAUGCAGAAGGGUGGAUGCUCUUCCAAGUGUGACUGGCUGGCCUGCACGGCUCACUGCCUCCCCUCCUCCCGUCAAGAUGCAGCUUCAGUUUAAACCACCUUCGUUCCAUUCAUCAAAGAGGAAUAUUUACUGUUAUUGUAAUGACUCUUCUCACAGUACACAAGGCUACACCUGAAACACACAGGCCUUUCAGAAAGCACAAAGGAGCAUUGUGCAAGCCCCUGCCCAGUGAGAUGGAUGGGGGCGUAGACACGCCAGUUAACAGCCGGGCUUUGCAGGCCAGCAAGACUUAUCUGUGGCCGCACCAUGGCCACUGAGCUUGUACCUUUCUUCUUUUAAAAAUUGCUCCUUCAUUAUAAGCAGAGUUAAAUACCUGCACAUGUGAUUUGUGUUGAAAUAAUAAAGCAACAAACACACAUCAAGCUGAGGAGAGAAUCUUGGCUAAGGUAGGAAGUCGUGGGUCUGGUCUCAGUCUGUGCUGCUGACCAACUGUAAGAACUCAGAACUCACUGUCCACUCAGGACCACAGUGUCUCAUCUGAAAGGACGAGGAGACUGGAACACACCAGAGCCAUGGUUCUCAAUGUGUGGUCCAGAGGCCCUCGGGGGUCCCUGAGCCUCUUUCUGGGGAUCUGUGAGGUCAAAACUACUUUCACAAGUAUGGUUUGCCUUUUUCACUCUCACUCUCUCAUGCUUGAACAAUGGAAUCUUCUAAAGGCUUCCUGACACGUGAUGCUACAAUGGAUGGAAUCCAGAGGUGGAUAGGAGAAGCCAGCUGCCUUCUAUUAAACCAGAAAUGAAGAACAUUUGCAGAAAUGUACAACAAUGCCAUGCUUCCCAUUAAUUAUUUUGUUCUUGCUUUAGAAUAUGUCACUUUUCAUUGAAAAAUGUUACUCAUGAUUUUAUGUAAAAGGUUUAUUGUUGUUACUUUUAAAUACAUAUUUUAAGUGUUUUUUAGUUUUGAUUUCUAAUAUGGCAAAAAUUGGUAAAAUCACAUACACAAGGGCUUUUGGGGAUCCUCAAAACUUUUUAAGAGUGUAAAGGGAUCCAGAGACCAAAAGUUUGAUAACCACUAACCAAAAACUUUGACAACCAUCAUCUUGAAGGGUCCUUGGACUUUCUGGAAUUUGGAUCUCCCUUGCCUUGUUCAGUUUUCUCUCUUUUUAGCCAUCUCGUACUUACUGCCAUUUCAGUUCCUAUGUACCUGACUUAUUAAUUAUGCUUAUUGUUUACCAUGUGUGUUCCCCUCCCAUAUAAACUCCAUGAGGACUGAGAUAUUUGUCCAUGAUGUUCAUCAGUGCAUCCCAGGCUGCCUAGAACUGGGCCUGGCCCUUAGCAGGCACUUGUUUUUGGAUGGGAGGGAGGAGAAGGGAGGGGAGAGGGCAAGUUCUUUCAGUGUCUGUAUAAUGGACAGAGCAAGGUGUACCACCUCGGUGUGAUAGAAGAGAUGGAGACAGGAGAAAGGAAGCUCUGCACAGGAUCACGUGGUAGGUGGCAAAGUCAGGGCUCCAUCACAGCUUCUGUUGUCACAUGACUCUGUUAUCUGACCCUUUAAGGCAGCCCCUUCUGCUCCAACAGAGCUUCAGGGUAACUGAGUGCCCCGCAAUUGGUGUUAGC